UGCCCACAAACUUCGGUUAAGACAGAAAAACAAGCUAAUUUGCUGGAACGGAAGGCUGACCUGCAGAUCUGGUGUGGGUUUGUUUCAUUUCUUGGACUAUAUUUUUGUUGUUUUUCUUCACUGCUGUACACCCUCUGCUUGAGCAAUCGCCUGUGUUACUGUGACUUCCCUAACGCCAUCUGCCAUCUCAUAUCCCCUCCCUGGGACGUCCUUCUAAACUCCAGGCUUGCGUCUGCAACUUCCCACUUGACGUCCGUCCUCAAAUCCGUCACCAUCAUCUCAAAGGCACUGUCUCUCAGCUUGAACGUUUGAACUCCGCUGCUGCUUCCCCCAAUUCCCAGCAUUUGCCGCUGCAAUUAGUGGCACAUUUAUUUUCACGGACAUAUUUAGACAAGGUCUAACAGAUCCCAAGCUGGCCCCAAACUGAGAAUGACCUUAAACUCCAGAUUCUCCAGCCACCACCUUCCUACCACUGAGAUUACAGGACAACUCCUGACUCAGUGAUCAUCACUCUCCUGCCUGCAGUGGUCAUCUCUCUCAUGACUGCAGUGGCCAUCACUGUCCUGCCUUCAAUAGUCAUCACUUGCCUGCCUGUGUUGAUCAUCACUGUCCUGACUGCAGUGGUCAUCGCUGUCCUGACUGCAGGGGUCAUCGCUGUCCUGACUGCAGGGGUCAUCACUGUCCUGGCUGCAGGGUCAUUGCUGUCCUGGCUGCAGUGGUCAUCACUGUCCUGACUGCAGUGGUCAUCACUGUCCUGGCUUCAGUGGUCAUCGCUGUCCUGACUGCAGUGAUCAUCACUGUCCUGACUGCAGUGGUCAUUGCUGUCCUGACUGCAGUGAUCAUCACUCUCUUGCCUACAGUGGUCAUCGCUGUCCUGACUGCAGUGGCCAUCACUCGCCUGCCUGCAUUGAUCAUCACUCGCCUGCCUGCAGUGAUCCAGCAUAGAUCCAUCCCUCCUAUACUAGAUCCUGGAAGGGGCAGCUCUGCUUUUCAACAGGUUGCAAUGUCCAGGAACUAUUGUACUCUUAACUACACAGGCUCCUAGGAGGGAAUAUUCAAGGACAAAGCUAGAGGAUCACCUUUAUUGACUCUAGCUAUAAUAUAUUUGACAAUAACUAAAGCAGAAAUGAAAAGAUACAAACAGAGCAUCCAAGGGAACAACUUUCCAUUCCAUAACCCUUGUAACCUGCUAAGGAGCAAACAAUCCAAUGAGGUCAAGAAAUUUCUGUUCUGCUGCACUGACCUCACAUAACCACCCGAUUUAUGAGGGUACUGAGUGUCAACAAAGGUGUACUGUGUCCUGUGCAGUCACCUUGGCUCCCUAUCCAUGUGCAGCUUUCUGUGGCUAAGCAAGCUUCACAUGAAGUCCCUGACAUUGUGAUUUAUGAUCUUGAAUGACAUUACCAUGCCUGGCCCUCAGAAUCCUUCUUUGUGCUCAUGCAUUCAUUACAAAUCUUGCAAAAAUCCCGUGCAUCCUGAUUUCUCAGUUUUAGAACUCUGGACAUUGAGACUAGAUGAGUCUUUGUUGUCCAAGACUGUUCUGUGCAUUGUAGAAUACUGAGAAGAACCUCUGACCUCUAGCUGCAAGAUGACAAGAACACUUUCCCUGGAUGAAGGAACCAAAAAUUCUCCAGGCAUUGCCAAAAUCCUCUAGUGAAGGGCAGGUUGCUUCUAGUUGACAAUCACUGGUAGACAAUGAUACAUAGUAGAUAAAUAGACAAGUUAAUAGAGCAAUGAUACAUAGGUGACAGAUAGAUGAUAAGUAGAUUAUAGAGAUAAAUAGAUGAUAGAUAGAUAAAUAGAUGAUAGAUAGAUAGAUAGAUAGAUAGAUAGAUAGAUAAUGGAUGGAUAGAUAAAUGAUAGAUGAUAGAUGGAUAUGAUAAAUAGAUAGAUGAUAGAUGAUAGAUAGAUAGAUAGACAGAUAGAUAAUAGAUGGAUAGAUAAAUAGAUGAUAGAUGGAUAGAUAGAUAGAUAGAUAGAUAGAUAGAUAGAUAGAUAGAUAGAUGAUGGAUGGAUAGAUGGAUGGAUGAAUGAAUAAAUAUGAUAGGUAGAUUGAUAUAUGAUAUGUAGAUAACUAAAUAGGUAUCUAUAUAAUAGAUAAAUAGAAAUUAGAUGAUAGAUAAUUGAAAGAUGGAUAUAGAGCAAAUUACAAAAUACUAGAGCACCUUCUAAUGUUCACCUCUAUUAACAAUGACUUCAUGUGUGUGGUAAUCUUAUACAUGUCUGUGUGUGUGCAUAGGCAUGGAAUGCAUGUGUACAUGUUUGCACUUGAAUCUGGAGGCUAGAGGUAGAUGUUGGGUGCAUUUUUCUGUUCACUCUUUGAGGCAGAGUCUCUUGCUGAAGCUAGGACUCGUCGAUUCAGCUGGUCUAGCUGACUAGGAAUCUUCAAGAAUCUGUCUGCAGCCUCCUCACUCCUCAGUGAUCAUAACUGGCAUUUCCACUGAUGCUGGGGAAUCCAAAUUAGAUCCUUCUGCUUGUAUAGUAAUCAUCUUCCUAGCUCCCAAUACACAGUGACUUUUAAAGCAACCCCAGAAAAACUUCCAAAUGUUGCUUGGCUAUACUAACAUUUGCAAGAGAAUAGUGGCACAGAAAGCUUGAAAGCCACUGGGACUAUUGUAGUCUUAAGAACCUGGUUACUCUUGUUCCAACUCCUCUGAGCACUGGCCAUCACAGAGAAAUUAGUCAAGUGGUCCACAACAGCAAAAAAGGAAAGAGGCAGCAGUCAAGUUUACCUGUCUCCUCAGGCCGUGCACCUCACUAGACUCUGGUCCUUACAAUUGACAAGAUCAUUUCUUCAGGUUCACCCGCUUGGUCCCCUUGCUAUGUCAAAAUUACCAUAGACCAACAACUUAACUAAUAGGCUUUUAUUUCUCGGAGUUCUACAGGCUGGAGAUCCCAUGAGGACAGUUGAUCAUGUGCAGAAGGCCAUCCUCCUAGGUGACAGAAGACAGACAUCCAUGGGGGAAUAAGCGUUUGACCUAUAAGCAUAGCACCUGACACAGGCCUGACCCAUAGGAGGGCAUUUUCAUCAAACAGCACUGGUGUUCAAUCUUACUGGUAUAUUACCUAUUUAAAAAUUACCAGCUUAAAAACAAUACCCAGAUCUUGACUGGAGCAUGGUCUGAAGGCAAUUGGUUCCACUGUUGAUUCUAAUAUGAAGUCAAGUUUAAGGACCGUUGGCAUGGAAAGAAGGCAAUAAGAUCUCCUCCCUACAACUCCAGACAGACAUCUCCCUCAGAGUGCUGCCCAGAUGGGAGCUGUGCUCUACUCACCCUGUGUGCAAGCUGGCUGUGGCCCACUCCACCACGUCUACUGUUUCCCAAUCCCUAUUAUCUAUCUAUGCCGUUUGGCCUUUCCUCAAGAGCCGAAGAGCACACUCAGUCCCAGAUCAAAUACAGCUUCUAGACCCUGGAGAUGGGCUGAAAACUUGUACAAAGGUCAAGCAAUGCAGAGAGGGAGGGAAGCAUGAGGUGUCACAGAAGAGGGCAGUAGGAUAAAAGUCUCAAGUCAGAAUAGAGUGGAGGUUGCAAAGUCAGGAUGGAGAGAUGGCUUAGUGUUUAAAUGCCCUUCUUAUAGAAAAGCUAUGUUCAGCUCCCGUCACCCACAUCAGGCAGGUCAUAAUUCCAAGAAUUCAGUGCUCUCUAGCCUCCUUGGACACCUUUACACAUAUGGUGUACAUAAACUCCUACAAGCAAUACACAUAAAUUAUAUAUAUAUACAUAUAUGUAUGUAUAUAUAUGUAUGAAUGUAAACAUAUAUGUAGGUAUGUGUGUAUAUAUGUGUGUAUACAUAUAUGUAUACACACAUAUAUAUGAAUAUAAACACAUAUAUAUGUGCGCACACACACACACACACACACACACAUCACCUAAUCACAAGGGUUUUGUUGUUAUUUUGAGACAGAAUCUCAUGUAUCCAGGCUGGCCUUGAACUCCUAAUCCUUCUGUUCUCCUCCCAAGAGCUGGAGCUACAGAUGUGCACCGCUACGCCCAGCUUGCAUAGCUGUCGGGCAAUGAAUUCAGGGCUUCUUGCACACUAGGCAAGCAUCCUACCAACUGAGCUACAACUCCAGCCCGGCGAGGUUGUAAUGAGUGUUAACGGCUGCAUCUGUGAGUCUCGCUGAAGCAGACCUUUAAGGAGCAAAAGGAAAAGCGGGGUUUGAGGUAACUUUUCAGAUCCUUGAAGCCUCAGCAGUGGUCAGCUUUCUCCUCCACCUGGGUGCGUCACUGAGGUGACCUCUCUAGAUGUCAGAGCAGAAGGAAGGAAACAGAGGAAGCAAAGGCAGACAAAGCAGAAGGCUGGUUCCCUGGCUUUGAUGCUGCAGUUUCUCUGAGCAGGAGCCAGCACAGGGCCAUAUUGCCUGACUGAAACUUGAGAAACCAGGUCCUGCAGAGAGCUGUCUUUGAGAAUGUCAACAAGUACCUACACAUAGAUAUCUGGAUACUCGUCAAGGGAGAGCUUCUUUUCCUGGUGACUUUUUAUAACAUUGGGGGACUGGAGAGAUGGCUCAGUGGUUAAGAGCACUGCUUGCUCUUCCUAGAGGUCCUGGGAUCAAGUCCCAGCAGCCACAUGGUGGCCCACAACCACCUGUAAUGAGAUCCGAUGCCCGCUUCCUGUGUGUAUGAAGACAGA
ensembl:lncRNA